rnacentral:lncRNA from 1 species
UUUUUUUUUAUGUUUUUGUGUUUUGAAAGAUGCAUAUGAUGCAUGGAUUUUUUUUUGUGUUAAAGUAAAUCUCUUUUUAGUUAUUCAUGUUUAUUCAUUGCAAAAACUACUUGACGAUUCGCGUUCACAAUCAUGAAUAAAGGAAAACAUAAUAGAGAAAAAUCACAACUUUCAUUCAUCCUUUGAAGGGAAAAUAGACAACAAC